rnacentral:rRNA from 1 species
GACGAACGCUGGCGGCGUGCCUAAUACAUGCAAGUAGAACGCACAGUUUAUAUCGUAGCUUGCUACACCAUAGACUGUGAGUUGCGAACGGGUGAGUAACGCGUAGGUAACCUGCCUGGUAGCGGGGGAUAACUCUUGGAAACGAUAGCUAAUACCGCAUAAUAUUGAUUAUUGCAUGAUAAUUGAUUGAAAGAUGCUAUUGCAUCACUACCAGAUGGACCUGCGUUGUAUUAGCUAGUAGGUGAGGUAACGGCUCACCUAGGCGACGAUACAUAGCCGACCUGAGAGGGUGAUCGGCCACACUGGGACUGAGACACGGCCCAGACUCCUACGGGAGGCAGCAGUAGGGAAUCUUCGGCAAUGGACGAAAGUCUGACCGAGCAACGCCGCGUGAGUGAAGAAGGUUUUCGGAUCGUAAAGCUCUGUUGUAAGAGAAGAACGGGUGUGAGAGUGGAAAGUUCACACUGUGACGGUAUCUUACCAGAAAGGGACGGCUAACUACGUG